CGGACGGGUGAGUAACGCGUGGGGAACCUGCCCUGUACCGGGGGAUAGCAGCCGGAAACGGCUGAUAAUACCGCAUAAGCGCACGAAUGUCGCAUGACAUGGUGUGAAAAACUCCGGUGGUAUAGGAUGGACCCGCGUCUGAUUAGCCAGUUGGUGGGGUAAAAGCCUACCAAAGCGAAGAUCAGUAGCCGAGUUGAGAGACUGACCGGCCACAUUGGGACUGAGACACGGCCCAGACUCCUACGGGAGGCAGCAGAC
rnacentral:rRNA from 1 species